AUCUAACCCCUCGGGCAUGGGUCGCACGAGCAGUCGAUGUGUUUGUACCACAGCCUAUGAAUAUUUUAUGGCUGUGCUUUUGUGCUCACUAAUGGAGCCUGAACUGUACAAUCUGCCUUGAAUAAUACCAAAAGAGCACCCUCUCCCGACCUCUGUCCCUAAAUGAUUUAUGGAGAUGAAGUAGGCCUAUCAGAGAUUCAUUAUUGAUGUUGUUCUUUAGAGACACUUUUCAACAAAAGAUCACCUGGUAUAGAUCCUGUCGGCUGGCUGUGUGCUGUCACUCUGAGCGAUACCAAAGGCGAGAAGACAUCACCGUGCUGCCGAGUCCUCAGCCUGAUUGGAGAAGACAAGACCCACAUACGUUAUUUAAGCCAGCUUGUAACCUGAUGCUAAUACGUUGAAAAGAAAGAAACCAAGACUUUCGCUUUCUCCUGUUGGAGCCUGAGCCAACAGCCAGCCUGGUGACUAGGCAACUCUCCAGUUACCUGGUGUGAAAGUCCCCAAGCUCCUGGGCUGCAGGUUGUAACUCGCAUCUCAGUCCUUUCUCUCAGGAUUCUCUCAGAAUCUUAUUCCCUCCCCUUUACUGCAGAAGUCAAAAGAGAGAUUUGUGUGAAUAGAAGUCAAAAGGGAGAAUAGCCACAUGGGUUUUUCUCUACAGUCCCUUGGGAAGCUACUAUCAUUUUCUUCCAAUCAAAUGUUUGUAGGACUAUUUAACUGGUUUUGGAACUUUAGAGAAAAUCCUCACCUCUUCCUUGUUAAUCUCCCCUCCUUCAACUCCUUAGGGGCUUUCACCUCUGAAAUUCGAGCUUAAAUUUAAAUACAAUGUUCCCAUAGAAACUGUGUAGCUUCUGUUUUUUCUGCCUGCUUUGCUUCUGUUUAAAAGCUAUUAUCAUCAGAACAUGGCUUUUUAAAAAAAGAGAUAUAAAAUGAAGAAUGGAUGCCCAGGGACCUUGACACAUUGCAAACCCUCAUUUGUUUAUAACCUGUAUGUGGUGAGAUGGUUAUUAGGAAAUUUGUUUAAGAUCAGAGUACUCAACUGUGGUGAUCAGUCCAGAAGCCAUGACAAAAGUUUUUUUCAGCGCUUUUUCAAAGCAAAAGGACAGUAGAAAUCAAGCAAACAAUUUCAAUAUAAAAAUAUAUUCUUUGUGACCUUCUUAAAAAAAAAAGAGUGAUGGUGAGAUGGUGAUAGUAGAUAGCAAUU